GCCCGGGUGGCGAAAUCGGCAGACGCACAGGACUUAAAAUCCUGGGACCGUAGAAGGUCGUGCGGGUUCAAGUCCCGCCCCGGGCACCA
rnacentral:tRNA from 1 species